GACGAACGCUGGCGGCGUGCUUAACACAUGCAAGUCGUACGGUAAGGCCCUUUCGGGGGUACACGAGUGGCGAACGGGUGAGUAACACGUGAGUAACCUGCCCACAACUUUGGGAUAACGCUAGUAAACUGGUGCUAAUACUGGAUAUGUGCUCCUGCUGCAUGGUGGGGGUUGGAAAGCUCCGGCGGUUGUGGAUGGACUCGCGGCCUAUCAUCUUGUUGGUGGGGUAGUGGCCUACCAAGGCGGCGACGGGUAGCCGGCCUGAGAGGGUGACCGGCCACAUUGGGACUGAGAUACGGCCCAGACUCCGACGGGAGGCAGCAGUGGGGAAUAUUGCACAAUGGGCGCAAGCAUGAUGCAGCAACGCCGCGUGCGGGAUGACGGCCUUCGGGUUGUAAACCGCUUUCAGCAGGGACGAAGCUUUUUGUGACGGUACCUGCAGAAGAAGCACCGGCUAACUACGU
rnacentral:rRNA from 1 species